rnacentral:lncRNA from 1 species
UAUAAAUUCGUACAGGAGUGCCUGCCAAACUCAAAUAAACCGAACCCCACACCAAACUACGUACACAAAAGCAUCAGGAAAAAAAGCCAAAGAAAAAUGCAGUAGGAGAGAGAGAGGCGGCGAGCAAGCGUGCUCGGGCAUGACAAUGACAGCACUCUGUAAAGAAAGGCGAUAAGUCCUUGCAAGAGGAGGUGGGGGAGGG